GACGAACGCUGGCGGCGUGCUUAACACAUGCAAGUCGAACGAUGAAGCCGGAGCUUGCUCUGGUGAAUUAGUGGCGAACGGGUGAGUAACACGUGAGUAACCUGCCCUUGACUCUGGGAUAACUGCGGGAAACUGUAGCUAAUACCGGAUACGACCCUCGGAGGCAUCUGCCGGGGGUUGAAAGACUUUAGGUCAAGGAUGGACUGGCGGCCUAUCAGCUAGUUGGGUAGGUAAAGGGUCACCAAGGCGACGACGGGUAGCCGGCCUGAGAGGGUGACCGGCCACAGUGGGACUGAGACACGGCCCAGACUCAUACGGGAGGCAGCAGUGGGGAAUAUUGCACAAUGGGCGCAAGCCUGAUGCAGCAACGCCGCGUGAGGGAUGACGGCCUUCGGGUUGUAAACCUCUUUUAGCAGGGAAGAAGCGAAAGUGACGGUACCUGCAGAAAAAGCACCGGCUAACUACGUGCCAGCCGCCGCAGUAA
rnacentral:rRNA from 1 species